rnacentral:rRNA from 1 species
GACGAACGCUGGCGGCGUGCUUAACACAUGCAAGUCGAACGGAAAGGCCCUGCUUUUGUGGGGUGCUCGAGUGGCGAACGGGUGAGUAACACGUGAGUAACCUGCCCUUGACUUUGGGAUAACUUCAGGAAACUGGGGCUAAUACCGGAUAGGAGCUCCUGCUGCAUGGUGGGGGUUGGAAAGUUUCGGCGGUUGGGGAUGGACUCGCGGCUUAUCAGCUUGUUGGUGGGGUAGUGGCUUACCAAGGCUUUGACGGGUAGCCGGCCUGAGAGGGUGACCGGCCACAUUGGGACUGAGAUACGGCCCAGACUCCUACGGGAGGCAGCAGUGGGGAAUAUUGCACAAUGGGCGGAAGCCUGAUACAGCAACGCCGCGUGCGGGAUGACGGCCUGCGGGUAGUAAACCGCUUUCGCCUGUGACGAAGCGUGAGUGACGGUAAUGGGUAAAGAAGCACCGGCUAACUACGUG